UGAGAAAUAUUGGUCAAUGGGCGCAAGCCUGAACCAGCCAUGCCGCGUGCAGGAAGAAUGCCCUAUGGGUUGUAAACUGCUUUUAUUUGGGAAUAAACCUCUUUACGUGUAGAGAGCUGAAGUUACCAAAUGAAUAAGCACCGGCUAACUCCGUGCCAGCAGCCGCGGUACUACGGAGGGUGCAAGCGUUAUCCGGAAUCAUUGGGUUUAAAGGGUCCGCAGGCGGUCUUAUAAGUCAGUGGUGAAAGCCUACCGCUCAACUGUAGAACUGCCAUUGAUACUGUAGGACUUGAAUUCAGUCGAAGAGGGCCGAAUAUGACAUGUAGCGGUGAAAUGCUUAGAUAUGUCAUAGAACACCGAUAGCGAAGGCAGCUUACUAGGCCUGGAUUGACGCUCAGGGACUAAAGCGUGGGGAUCAAAC
rnacentral:rRNA from 1 species